AUGGCUCCGCUGGGCGCUCCCUGCGUCGACCACGGGCGCCGGCCGCGGACCAUCCACAAGGUGAUCGCCUCCACCCCGGAGAUGGAGCAGCAGAUCUUCCUGCUGCAGCAGCACGUGGUGGUGGACACCGCAGUGAGCAAGCUGCACGCGGCCAGUCCCCUCUCCAUCGGCCGAGCCAUCGAGCGGGAAUUCCAGAUCACCGCGCACCUCCUCCGCUUCACCAGACACGAUCCUGAGGACUUCUUCAUCCACUUCACCAUGCCAGGCCACAAAGACCUCGUCGUUCGGCGGGGCUCGGUCGUGGUGGAUGGCGUCUCCUUCCUGCUGGAGCCAUGGAGGGAGGACGUGCACGCCAUCCACAACACCUGGAUGCUGCAUGUCCGUGUCAUCAUGGAGAAGCUGCCAAUGCAACUCUGGACCCUGAAGGGCACGAAGGACGCGCUGGGCGACGCGGUCAUCAUCGACCGCCUCGACAGCCGUACGUUCGAGCGCGCGGACACGAAGUUGUUCGCCAUCUGGGUGUGGGUGUGGCAACUGCACCACAUCCCCACCAUGCGAACCCUGUGGAAGCACGCCAGAGGUGCCGGCCGGGUGGAGGAGAUGAUCGGCUUCUCGCCUCCUAGCCGGGCCGUCGCGCCGCCGCCGAACCUGCUGCGCUGGGAUGCGCUGGUGCACAUCGACCGGGUCGAAGACUGGGUGCCCCUGUCCCCGCGCCCCUCCCACUCCGGGCAAAGCGACCUCCCGUCCUCCUCCGACGACGACCGCUCGUAUCCGCGCUACCCCUUCGCGGGGGGCUGGGUGGCCGACGUGGAGGACGGCAGGCUGUCGCAGGACCUGGGGCCGCGCUUGCGCCCGCCCGCACAAGUGGCGUCCUCGGGCUGCAAGGGCAUGCCCUCGGUGGGCCACAGGCGCAGCCACGACGGCGACGACAGUGGCGGCCAGCGGAGGUCUUGGAAGGACACGCUCCUCGGACGAAGGCGCGACAAGGAGCCGCCCCCCCCCCCCCGCUUCUGA
rnacentral:rRNA from 1 species